rnacentral:lncRNA from 1 species
GAUCGGUUAAUUCGGAAGAGGUAAUAUGCUAUGAUGAUACUCGAUGAAUUCAGAAGCUAUAAUGAUGUUAUGAUGAUGCCCGAAGAAUUCGAAGAAUAUGUUGAUGUUAUGAUGAUGCCCGGUGAAUCCAGAGGAUAUGUUGAUGUUAUGAUGAUGACUGGUUAAUCCGAAAGAGGUAAUAAUUAUACCCGGUGAAUCUGGAGGAUAUAAUAAUGUUAUGAUGAUGCCCGGUGAAUCCGGAGUAUAUGUUGAUGUUGUGAUAAUGCCCGGUUAAUUCAGAAAAGGUAACGAUGUUAUGAUGAUACUGUGUGUGGUGAGUAUAUAUGAAUAUAUGGACAUAUGUGGGGUUAUGCCAUGUGUGGCUAAACCCGUUUGUGUACUUGGAACACGAUGCCUUCCUUGGUAGAUUAUUAAUCAUUCUUCAUCACUAAUCACUAGUUAAGAGGUGUGACCCAUAUUAAUUCUAAUUAGUAACUAAAAGUGGAUUAUGCCAAGUAUUGGGUUAAGAAUAAUUGAUAUGUGUAAUCUUGUGUAGAACUAAGGGCUCACCUAGUAAAUCUACUUGACUUGGAUAAAUGGUCAUGUUAUGAAAUUUAGUCUAAUAAAGUGGAUUAUGUGAUAACUAGUUAUCUCUAAUAAAUGACUAUGACUUGUGGGUUAGAAGCCUAGUAAACUAGUUGGUGGACAUAACUUGGUUAAGCUAUGGAAACUAGUCCUUAAAGUUGUAACAUGCCUAAUGAUAUUGAACUUAGUAUUGUAUGAUGAAUAGUUAAGUUGACAUCUAGCAUGUGAUGCUGUGGUGGCUUAAUUGACGACUUAUAUAAUGAGGAUGCUAACUAGAAAAUGGCCUUGAGAUAGCUGAAUAAAUAAUGGUGUUGGUAAAUUGUAGCUUUUACUUACUUGAUGACUUGUAAACUAUUGUUUCAUGGAUAUGGAAAUUAGCUAAUAUACACUAGACUUGGAGUUCAUCAAUGAAAUAGAGAAUAAGCAACUUUAUAACUAUGCUAUGGUGAUAUCGGUUUCGUUGUGCUAAAUUGUGGUACUGAUAAUGAUUGUAGACCUCGGUAAGAGGUCAUGGCGAGAAUGUGCAACCCGCGACUUGGUGAGUUGCUUGUGUAGUUGUGCCUUGAUAUAUUGAUGUAUUGAUCUUUUGGUGUAUUCUACGGUGGUAGGGGACGCUAUGACGAGUUUUUUUUUGUGUUCUUUUACGUGUACUUCCUGGUGGUAUGGGAUGUCAUGGUAAGUUCUUGUGCUUUAUAUUCUAAUGAUGGUUGGUGUUGAUUGUGGUAAAUACAUGGUUGUUAUUAUAUAUAUGUGGCUUUAUGCUUCCGAAAUGAUUCCUUAUUUGUAUGGAGAUUAGGUAUAUAUUGUUAUGAUACGUUAUGUUAUUGCCCUAGUAGAUUAGUUAUUUUAUACAAUGAUAUCAAAGAAGAUUCAGGUUCAAUCCUAUACCUUGACUUUAAGUUAUUGUCUUACUGUAUAUCAUCCUUAUAGUAUAAUUUAGCUCAGUCGGCCGAUGAUGCCUACUGAGUACCUGUGUUUUGGUACUCAUACUACACUUCUGUAACUUUUUGGUGCAGACUCGAUUUCUAGUUACCGCCGUUAAGUCGAGAUCGUGUGAUCAUCAGGAGAUAGUGGAG